rnacentral:rRNA from 1 species
UACGGGGGGGGGGCAAGCGUUGUUCGGAAUUACUGGGCGUAAAGGGCGCGUAGGCGCCUGUUAAGUCGAACGUGAAAUCCCCGGGCUCAACCCGGGAACUGCGUCCGAUACUGGCAGGCUUAAUCCGGGGAGAGGGAUGUGGAAUUCCAGGUGUAGCGGUGAAAAUGCGUAGAUAUCUGGAGGAACACCGGUGGCGAAGGGCGCAU